rnacentral:lncRNA from 1 species
GAGCACGUGGGGGCCCUAUCCUAUCUAGAGGUUCUUUUUACCGAUCGGCAUCCUUGAAGGGCUGAUUGUAAGCCUAUGGAGUAGGGGAUCUAGGAUCAUCUCGAGGGUUGGCACGCCAACAGUCUCUUCAUGAUGGGCAGACUGACGCUCGUGAGAUCGAUUCUAUGUUUUAUGUCUAUUUACCUCUUGAUGAAUAUGAUUGUGUUGAGCUUUUGUCUUAGAUGGUUAGAGCGACUCUUUUGAUAGUUC